rnacentral:rRNA from 1 species
UACGGAGGGUGCGAGCGUUGUCCGGAAUCAUUGGGCGUAAAGGGCGCGUAGGUGGCCUGCUAAGCGUGCGGUGAAAGUCGGGGGCUCAACCCCCGAUCGGCCGUGCGAACUGGGAGGCUUGAGCACUGUAGAGGCAGGCGGAAUUCCGGGUGUAGCGGUGGAAUGCGUAGAGAUCCGGAAGAACACCGGUGGCGAAGGCGGGUCACUGGGCAACAACUGACGCUGAGGAGCGAAAGCGUGGGGAGCGAACAGG